UGGUGGUUUACAAAGUAAUUC
rnacentral:miRNA from 1 species